AUGGCGGCGGUGUACACAUCCUUCAUCUUCAUUUCUCAGUCCGUCUCUAUCCGCAAUAACCUGUUUCAACUCAUCUUCUUCACUCUGACUCCGUUCGCCUCUGCGUCACGCUCAUGGUUUCGCUCAUCACCGUCUUCACCGGCGCCAAGUUCGAUGCCUCUUCAACGCGUCGAAGCUUUAAAGAAUCCGAAAGAAAGCUCGAAUCCAAAUAUGAGGCUUGUUGGAAUGUCGAUCGUUGUUGAAGAUGGAGAUAAAGAAUUGCAGAGUUGUAGUUGUUGUUGUGAGUUGAUCUGA